GAUGAACGCUGGCGGCGUGCCUAAUACAUGCAAGUCGAGCGAACGGACGAGAAGCUUGCUUCUCUGAUGUUAGCGGCGGACGGGUGAGUAACACGUGGAUAACCUACCUAUAAGACUGGGAUAACUUCGGGAAACCGGAGCUAAUACCGGAUGAUAUUUUGAACCGCAUGGUUCAAAAGUGAAAGACGGUCUUGCUGUCACUUAUAGCUGGAUCCGCGCUGCAUUAGCUAGUUGGUAAGGUAACGGCUUACCAAGGAAACGAUGCAUAGCCGACCUGAGAGGGUGAUCGGCCACACUGGAACUGAGACACGGUCCAGACUCCUACGGGAGGCAGCAGUAGGGAAUCUUCCGCAAUGGGCGAAAGCCUGACGGAGCAACGCCGCGUGAGUGAUGAAGGUCUUCGGAUCGUAAAACUCUGUUAUUAGGGAAGAACAUAUGUGUAAGUAACUGUGCACAUCUUGACGGUACCUAAUCAGAAAGCCACGGCUAACUACGUG
rnacentral:rRNA from 1 species